rnacentral:lncRNA from 1 species
UCUGCGGAAUGAGGUUCUUUAUUUCAUGAGAACUGGUGUGCCAUGGAUGGGAACACGGGCACCUCUGAUGGCCAUCUCUUCUUCCAACGUAAUCUGCUCCUGAAUGAGGGGUAUUGGCUGCUGGGGUCCAUCGAUAGGUGCUGCAAGGAGCAGCCAGCGAUCCCCAGUUAUCUGCACUCCCAUCCUUCCCUCUGGGUGUGCCAGGAGCCCCAGCCCUGCCCCAUAAUGGCUGGUCCAUGCAGAGGAAUGGUGAAGGCAUCGAGUGCUGAUGAGAAAAACGAGUGUCUUCAAGACUAGGAAACUUUUCUCCUUUUUUUUUCUUCUUCUUUUUUUCUUACCCUACUUUUUUUUUUCCCCCUCUUAGAAAAUGGAAUAAGCAAAAUAAUUGAAAGAGAGAAAAUUGACUUUUUUAUUGCUUUUUAAGUGCUUAACAUGAAGUUUCAUCCCGUAAAAUUAUUGUUAUUUUUAUCUUGAGCUGCGUCGUUCCUGCUUCUCCUUAAAGAAGACAUUUCUCCAGUUCGGGAUGCCAGCUGCAAGAAGUCGCGCUGAGAAUGACAAUGGCCUAUGCAAAUACAAUGCAUCAGCUACAUAGCCUGCUCCACAUAGACUGCUCAGCAGCACCCGCCCCUGCCGAAGCUGAGCCGCCAGCACACACUGCGGCAGCAGGCAAGGCCUGGCUCUGAGCAGUACAGGAGUUGGUUGGCAUCAAGGGGCAGAAUGGAGGAAGGCCAUGGGGGGGAGAAGGACUUUCCAGCAAGAAAAAUAGGAGUAAAAAUAAUCAUUUUCCUUGAAAACUGAGAAAAAGAGCGCACUGUAGGCAGGAAUAACUAUAUGGCAAUUUGUACCCCUCCUGGGUCCUGCUCACUUCUCAGCUCCAUCCACAGGAUAUUGAUGGAGCUGGAGACGAUAGGUCUGGGUUAAGUGGCAGACCGCAAUAACAUGAUGAACCUUCCAAUCAAGAGCUGUCCAGGCUACUGAGCAUUAUAACAGUAAAAUACUAAAUGGAUAAGCCAUUUAUUAGCCAGGCUUCAGGUGGAACCCAAAACAGAGAAUGAAGCCUGAUGCUUCUGCUUUGGAAGUUACGUAAGCCUAUUUAUUUGACCAUGUAAAAGCUGGACUGUCUUGCAGCAGAGCUGGAGACCUCACCUACAAUGGAGCACACUGCAUAGGGCCCCCCAGCUGCCAGGAAAGGCUCUCCAAAUCCUUGUUGCAACUGGCAAUCCAGGGACUGCCCAUCUGGUUGAUGGUGAAGUAUUUGGGCAAUUAGUGAUGCAUCUUACUUAACCACUCUAGCUCAUUUUCUGUAGCAAUGAUUAGGUGCAUUACCUUAUUCUGUUUUAUUCUUGCUGUAUCAUUCCACUAUUUCAGUGCUUCAAAAGUGAGUAAAGAUAGACUCAUGUCUUUAACUUGGUGUAAGUGCCCUUUGUGCUGACCCCAUUUAUUGGCAAAACAGAAACUCUGUGCUAUUCCCCAGCACCUGUAGAUCAGCAAGUCACAGUAAAUAGGGCAGGAACAUCAAGACCAAGGGCAGCAAACAUGUGAAAUAACACAGAAAUUACAGUGGGCUUGAGAGGGUGGCACAUCUGGAAAUUAUGGUGCAGAGAGAAUCUCUGCUUUGGCAGAGUGCAAAGCCUUUUUACAGAAACACUGCAUCCCUCAGGAUAAAAGACUUGAUCGCAUCUCAGUUGGUGCCAACAUGACACAGAAGAGAAAUUAUACAUUACAAAAUGCUAAAAGACAGCUAAAGGGAAGGAGUCAGACGAGGGGACAGGGAAACAAAAAUAAAUCAGAGUCACUGUACA